rnacentral:rRNA from 1 species
GACGAACGCUGGCGGCGUGCCUAAUACAUGCAAGUCGAGCGCAGGAAGUCAUCCGAACCCUUCGGGGGGACGUUGACGGAAUGAGCGGCGGACGGGUGAGUAACACGUAAAGAACCUGCCCUCAGGUCUGGGAUAACCACGAGAAAUCGGGGCUAAUACCGGAUGGGUCAUCGGACCGCAUGGUCCGAGGAUGAAAGGCGCUCCGGCGUCGCCUGGGGAUGGCUUUGCGGUGCAUUAGCUAGUUGGUGGGGUAAUGGCCCACCAAGGCGACGAUGCAUAGCCGACCUGAGAGGGUGAUCGGCCACACUGGGACUGAGACACGGCCCAGACUCCUACGGGAGGCAGCAGUAGGGAAUCUUCCAUAAUGGACGAAAGUCUGAUGGAGCAACGCCGCGUGAACGAUGAAGGCCCUCGGGUCGUAAAGUUCUGUUGUAAGGGAAGAACAAGUGCCGCAGGCAAUGGCGGCACCUUGACGGUACCUUGCGAGAAAGCCACGGCUAACUACGUG